CCGGCCUCUCCUCUAAUCCUCCUUCGCUCUCCAUCUCGCUACUAUCUAGAUCUACUAUAGUUUAGAGAAGAGAGGAGAGCUCUCAUCUCUAAACCCUAGCUUUUGCAAUGUCUAUGAAUAAUGAAUAAUGAUCAAGGGGUGCCUCCUCCAGGGGCUAGGGGGUCUGCUUAUAUAGUCCCCUCAAGUGAACCUGGGCCGUCGGAUCAAACCGACAUUGAUUGAACGGUUAUUCUUGAUCCUUUAGGUCGGUGGAGCAUAAUCCCCGAAGAGAGUCCUGAUUGGACUCUGUAGCUGGGUGGGCGCCCAAGGGGGGUGGGCGGGAGCCCUGCCCCCGAGCCCGCUCGGCCUCCCGUUCGUUCCCGUGGCUUCUGGAGUCUUCUAGAUGAUAGAAAAUUGCGCGGCACGUUAAUAUCUCUAUGUAAACCAGACGUGUGGGCCUUCUCUCCAUAUUUCCUGAUAACCCCCUGCAGAAAUAGACAAACACCAAAACUCGUGGAAUUCUGUCAGAUAAAACCCUAAGUCUGGGUGUUGGAUGCAUUUGGAUCCUUUUCUUUAUAUAUUUGGUAGUUAAAUUUGAUACUUAAGGACUGUCAACAACUCCCCCAAGCUUACCUCUUGCUCGUCCCUGAGCAAGGAUGGACUCAAGAGUUUCUGCAGUGGUUUCAUGUCUUAAAGGUACACAUGCAUUCAAACAAGAUCUCAUCUCUAGGUUAAGGUAAACUGUUAAGAUUUAAACUUACUCAUAUUACCUUCCUCCAUGGGGCUUGCAACCGUUACUUGUGUCUGGAGCAGUUAAAAGAUAGAACGGUCAAGUCAAGCACCAUGUCUCUUGUUCUUUGAUCAACUAUAGCUCUGGAGUUUUUGCAGAUUUUUAAAUGAAACUCAGAGAUUCCUUGUAUGACUCUCUCUAGUUUCUCUUUUGUGGUAUUUCUGGAUCAUUACCAAGGCAGUGAUGAUAUAUGCCUUCUCUCAAAGUAUGUGGUAUUUGUGGUAUGAGGCAUAAUGAUAUUGCCUUCUCUCUCACCCUACUCUAACAAGGUUUUGAUAUCUGGAGCUUAUAGGUGGGAGACAGCUAAUACAUACUUACAAGACAUUUAUUGCAUAGUCAAGCCAUGGAUCCAGAGAAACGAGUCAAUAAGUCAAACCAAGAUGUGCAUGUGUGGUGGAUGAAUGGUGUAUGGUGAUGAUGGUGAUAGUCUAAUUCUACUUUUGCUCUUUUGAGGGGAUACAUACCUUUCUUGCACUUUGAAGGUUUUUGAGAGGAAUGAGAUGCUCUAUAUUUUCUUUUUUUUUCUUUUCUCUCAGGUGGGUAUCGUGUAUCCCUAAUUCUACUGUCGGACAAUUGUCCAUUUUUAACUCUCAUCUCAAUUUUUCUUUUCUUCGAGGUUCCGGGCACUUGCCCCUUUUUAUUUCCUCGUAUUUUUUUUCUUUUUUUCAGAGCAUUCACCCUCCUAGAAUAAUGUAGCAAGUGGUAGUAACCAAAAUAUCAAGAGCAUUUAUUUCACGGAGAAUAACAGGGAUAGGAUAAUGUUUUUGGCUAUUCUCUCCCAGAUAGAAGUAGAAUAAUUUUGGGUGAAUCUGGAGAUGGAAAUGAGUGAAUGUAUGUGGAUGCGUACUUCCGGAGUAGAAGCAGCAUGUAUGAGUGAACGUGCAAGUAAAUCUUGAUUUUAACCACAUGACAAGCUCCUAAGGGUCUACACAGCUUGACCACACUCAAUGCUCAUAAGCAGUAAAAAGUAAAUGUAUGGUUCAUAGUCUAAUAAGCAUGUUUAUAUGGCUGUGGUAGGAUUUUAAACUCUCAUCAUACAGGAACUCAUCAUGCAACAUUUGAAAGAUUUUUAAACAUAAAAUUCUCCAGAAUUCUAGCAUCUCUAGGAACAGAUAAAAAGCAGGUCAACCAACCCAUAUCGUAUCCGUUAACGACUUAGACUUUAGAUCAAGUAAUCUUCCCACAAGUUCAGGUUUAGAGCAAUCUUUAAAUUAUAACAGUCAUGCCUAAACUUGAGAGAGAGCUCAAAUUUGAAAACUAGGUAAUUGGCAAAGCAACUAUUCAUCAUAUCCAUGUGAGAGCUUAUCAUGAGGGUUCAUAGCAAACUUUAUUUAUUUAUUUAUUUAGCAAACUAAGAAAAGAUAUAUAUAUAUAAGCAUAAAAUCUUUAUUUAGGUUUUUAUGAUUAUGCAUCUUUUUAUUAUUUAAGUAUAAAUGCGAGUAGAAACACUUAGCUGGAUAAAUGGGGGUGCUCUCUCCCAAGCUAAAUUUCGACGUAAUUUCUUUUGAUGUAGCUAGCAGGUGGCAGAGGUGUAUUUGAAUGUCGGCAGUACCCUGACAGCGAUUAGAAUGUCCUCCGUCUGCUAGUCUUCUUUGAUCCUUGAAUUCUGUGGAGCUCAAAUAGACAACAAAGCUUUGUGGAACUAGUUAAGUGUUAGCAUAAAAAUCUCUUUAUCUUUAUCAUGUUGAGCUUCCUCUAAUAAAUAUUACUCUCUUUGGUAGGAUCAUAAAUUUAUUUUUAUAUUUUCAUUUCUAUAGAACAGGAAUAUAUUUAUUUUAUUUUUACGCCACCACAGUGAAUGUACUUAUGGGUUUUAUGCCACGAGCAAACUCACAUGGGGCUUAGUAUUUUUAAUAUUUUUUUUAUUUUUUUCAAGAUAGCAUGAUUAACUAACAAACCAUUUAAGGAAACUAAAUAAUUUAAGGUAAAAGGGAAUGAAAAAAGGACAAAUAUGGAUAACUAGCGAUUUUACCUUUCGGUGAGGGUUCAAUGUUUUAAGUCUUCGGAACAAGACUUCUCACCGUGUUCAUUCUUCAGGUGCGUCAUUUGAUUCAGGUGUGGACCUUAACGUCUGCACCUCUUAAUACGGUGUCACCCAUGUUCUUCAUUUGCCCAGCAGUUUGAAGUGCGGCGUUGGCAGUAUCCUACUCAGUGUGUUUAUGCUUGUAGAUCCAGGUCCUUCACUUGAUGGAAUCUGGGAGUUGUAAAACUCCUCCAUGUUUCUCAAAAUGUGUCUUGCUCAUAGAGACAAGGCAGAGAUCAAGUGCAUUGGCCCUGUUGGUGGAGAACACCAACAGAACCAAAAGUGUAUUUGUUCUUCUCUAACCUUAAGCAUAGUGAAGAAGACAAAGGUGAUGGAUAAUAAGAUCAUGAGUGUAGUAUUUAAAUAUUUGUCAGAUUAGAUCGCUCAACCUUAUGGAAAGAUAAUCUAUCUAUGUAUAUGUCUUUUUCUUUAUAUCUCUCAAAGAUUGAAUGUGUAAUAUUUUAGCUCAUAUGAUUAGGAGUGUGGGAUCACAAAAGUGGAAGGACUAAACAUGUUGAAUCGAUUGGGUUGGUUAACCUAGAGUUGUAAAUCAUACAUGUUUGUCUCUUUAUUUAUGUGAACGCCAGAACCAAGGAGAUGCUUAUAAAAGUGAUAGUCAGAUAUCUUAAGAUGUUACCUUACUUGAAGAGUGAUGGUAUAGUAUCACCUUGUGGAAGCUUUCCUUUCGUAGUGGUUGUGUAUCUUGUUUAUGUACUUUGUCUCCUUCCAUGGAUCAUCUCUGUAUGAUGAAUGAGCUAUGUCCUUCUUGUGCAAAUUGUUAAACUUCAUGUGUCACUCUCUUCAUCUCCGAUGUGAGUUUAUCUCAGGACUUCCCAGGUAGAUAAUGAAAGUUUUCCUACAGGGGUUAGUCCGACAAAAUAUACCAAUAUCUACUCAAGCAGUUUUUAGUUCAGUAACCAAACUAGACUCCAUGUCUAAUCAAAUUAAGGAAGGCUAUUUAACCUAAGCACCAUGCUUAAUUUAAAUGUCAAUGGAAGUAUGGCGAGUACUUCCAAACCAACACUUGCUAGUAAAUAGACAAAGGUAGCAUGACAGCAUUUAUAG
rnacentral:lncRNA from 1 species